rnacentral:lncRNA from 10 species
AGCUGCUGCACCCACCCCCACCCUGCCCGGCCCUUUCUGCACCGUCAUCUCCUGCCCCGCCGAGGCUUGACCCGUGCUGUCCCCCUCUCCCUUCCUUUGCCCACCGAUUGGAGGGACACUCUGGAAAACUCAGUUGAAGAAAGCGGAGAGUCUGCGUGUACACAGUGCAAUGAUGUCAGUUAAUGCACUAGUGAGGGCAUGUGUUGUUCACGGUACACAGAAGAAGGAACCACCAGCCCUUGGGACACUUAGGCAUUGGUGUAGACAAGGGAACAUUUGAGUCCUGGACGAUGGAUAGGUCCACGGAGCGGAGGGAGGAGAAAAGGAUUCCAGUCUUAGCGAUCAGCAUCAGCAAAGGCUCCGAGGUGCCAGAGGCAUAGUGAGUUCUCCGAUCCCUGGCUGGUGGAGGGAAGCUGGGAAGGGCCUGGCUGUCCAGGGUGGUGGGAGGAGGCUAGAGUAGCCAGACCAGAUAUUUUGGGUUGUCUCUGAUGGGCAGUGGGGUGUGGGGGGGAGGUAGAUAGGUAUUUAGGAUGGAAUUCUGCUAGACAGGAAAAUAUAGUUCAGUUCCUCAUAGUUCA